AUUUCAAGAAGAAAGGGCGUUUGCUAGUUAGAUUGAAAAAAAAAAAAUCUGGUCCUAUUUGAAAUCCUUUUGUGAAAUGCUCAGAAUGACCUGGCAGAUAAUGAGUGACUAUGUAAAAUACAGUUAAUUGUUUGAAAUACGAAAAUUAUUUUAAAAUCUUAUUUAAUGCUAAUAGAUCAUUUUUCACGAGGGCCUCCUUUUCAACUGAACCAUUGUCUAGAAAAAUGUCACAGAUUUCAUAGUCGAUAAGCUUUAAUACAUAUGUUUGGAGUAGCGAUGAACAGCUAAUGGGUUCAUUAUUCACGACAAUUGUACAAGCACUGUUUUCGUCGUCAUCAUCCUCUAUAGACGUUAGCUAAUUUAUCCGCGGUAGGGCUCCUGAGCAGUGCAGUGUUGUUUCUGUUGUUGGGCAGACAGAGGAAUUAAUGCAAGGUGAAAGGCCGUGAUUCUCCAAGGUUCUAUUUCUGACCACUGAUCCCGCUGAAAUAUCAAAGACAAACUGUUGACAGUGAGCCAACAGAAAGGCAAAACGUUUGCCAGUUUGAUUGGAAAGUGUUGCUGGUGUUUACUUACCCAGAAGCCUUAAACGAAGCAGGGAUCUGGAAACAACGAAGAGCCCCACAUGCAUUUCCACUUUACUGCUCCAGCUACAACGCCAGACUCUCCGCCACCUGUGGAUAGCACCAGGGAGCUCCCCAUAUCCUUCCCUCCAGGGAGACAAAGCCAACUUUGCUUUUCUUAGAGCUCGCUCUUCUUCUUCUACCCAGAUCAUAAGGGGACCUCCUCAAAGUGAGCAUUUUCACCGUCAGGCCGGUUUGCAAUUCUCUCUCUCUCCAGCAAACAAUCUUUAGUCGCUUGUCCCUGUGACCCAGCAUGUGAAUCUUUUUUGGUCAAAUGCAUUCAUGGCUAUGGAAGAAGAGCUGGCCAGCUUCCUAGCUUCCUAGAAGCAGCAACACGUCACUGCCUUUUCUUCGUGAUCGUUUUUUGCACAUUUUUAUUUGGUUUGCCUAAAAGUGAUACAGAUGAAAUUAACCAGAAGUUAAUCUUAGAGGAUCUGGUAGCGCCACAGAUAGGCUAUUAAGAUUGUGGAACUCUUGAUCCCGCAAGGACCCAAAUCUUUCUUUUGGAGUUUUCCUGUGUUGGCUAAUUCAGCUUCAGAGUAAAGAGUCUUGAGUAGGCUGUGGAGGUUUGUACGGUUCCGGCACUUACUAAUUAUAUAAAUUUGGAAACUUGGGCAAAUCGUUUUGUUUCUUUAAAUUUUAGUUUCAUCAUCUAUAAAAUAGAAGUAAUCCAAGUGAAGUACUUAAUAAUGUCUACCUGAUAUCAAGCAUUAAAAAAUUGUGACUACUAUCUAUCAUUUCAUAGCAAUCAUAAUUUGAUAAGAAUGUAUAAAUGCAUAAAGGAAAUGUAUAAAAAGAAAUUGGAUCUUUUUAUCAGGAUAACAGAUUCCUUUGAAUUUUUUGGAAAAUGUUCAUAAUUUGUUUUAUUUGCUACUCCUAGAAAGAAAAUAUAACCUUCCUUAAGUACAAACAACUGGCUUGCCUAAGAUUUCCUAGAACCAUUUGAAUUUUGUGACCAAAAGCAAACUAGCUUUAUGCUACGUCUGCUUAUUCUUAUUUCCUUUUCUGAAAUUCCCCUUCAAAAAACCACUGACACUUCCUUAUAUUGUCCCUCCAAUCUUUCAAGCCAUCCCCGUGGCUGACCCUGGACUUUGUCACCAUGCCCUUUCUGCCAUUUCCUUAUAAUCCACAUAAUUUCUGGAAGCUGGAUGAAGAUAAAAAUGGAGCAGGUCUGUCCACAAGAGAUUAUAACAAUGAUUGUGGUGGAGAGGGCACCGAGGGGAGAAAUAGUUCAUCUGGAUCCUGGCAGAGGAGAGAAGGUCUUCAAAAGAUGAGUGCCCUGUAUUUAGCUUAAUUUUCUUUGGCUUUUCUUCUUAGGAACAAUUCUGGUCUGAAUUAUUUCUCUUGAGAUGGUGUCAACAGAGAGGCACAGCGGUUGCGAAACUUUUAUUAACUCUGGCACAGUCCCGUCCACAGGACACAAAACUUUUUCAAAGCUGGGAAGCAGUCGGUGGUUGGAAAAAAUAGAGAUGUGAGCAGUGGGAGGAGAGGGGAGCAGGCGGGGGUAUCGACGGGCCUCAGGAAGCUAAGUGGAGGCAUCUCGAAGUGUCCUCUUUCAGGGCAGCACUGGCAGAGCCCGGGACCUUGGGCUCAACAUAAGGGUUGGGAAGUGAUGAAUGUUCUCCAUAAAAAUAUAUGAGGAAGUUAAUCUUUUUGUUCAUAAAAGAAAGAAUACAGAGAAGCUGAGGUGGGCGAGGCUGGGAACUUGAGGGCAAGACAAAUGACUUUUAAGAAUAGAAAUGUCUAGUAUUCAAUUCUAGAUUUUUGGUGAAGAUGCAAAGCAAAUCUUUUCCUUUCCUUUCACACCUCUACAAAACUUUAGUAAAGUCUGCGACCCACACAGGGGCUCUUUUAUGUCUAGAAAUCAAGGGAAAGACCUGAGGUCAGUGUGUGAGUUAGUGUGGAACAGGAAACACUGAUUCAUCAAAGCCAAGAAGCUGGAACCUGAAGAAUCCAUGAGAACCAAAGUUCCAGAGGAAGUCACAAGAAUCUUAAGAAAGGCAAUGGAUUUUCUCUGGGUUGUUGUUUAGAGACUGAGAUCAAUCUUAUAAUAAUCUCAAUGGGGCAGCAUGACCCCAGAGGGCAGCUGAUGGUGAGUCCAAGGCCCUGACUGGAUUUGAAGCCUGCCUCAGCCAUAUUCUAGCUAGUUAAUAUGAAGAAGGUACAACUUGGCUUCUUCAUCAGUAAAGAGGGAAUAAUAUUUUUGUAAUAAUUGAUUCGGGGUUACCAAUGAAUACUAAAGUAGUUAGGUGAAGCAUUGUUGAAGAAACAGAAAUUCUAAAAGUAGCACCCCGCAUAUUACUUUUGAAUUAUAAGGGAAAAUGUGUCUUUCCAAUUGAGAAAUGGCAAGUGAUCGUGUAACUGAGACGUAUACAAGAGAUCAAACUGAAUGUCACCAAUAAUAAGAGUGAUAAUGGUACAAAGGUUUUAUGGAAGACCAUCCUUGGUUUGGGGAGAUCCAUGCUGAAAUAUUUAGAGGUAAAGUGUCAUGAUGUCUACACCUUACUUUAAAAUUCACCAUAUAUAUGCCAUGUGUAUAUAUAUAUAUACACAUACAUGUUAUAUAAUGUGCAUAUAUGUGUGUGUAUCUCUCUAUGUGUAGUCUCAUAUAUGCACGAGAGACAUAUAUAUGUAUAUGUGUGAUAUACACACACAUAUAUGUAUGUCUCUCUUUCUCACUUUUUCUCUCUCUAGAUAUCUUUCCCUAUCUCUCUCUCUCUAUAAAUCUAUUAUACAUGUUAUAUAGAUAAAGAUAUUUAUAGAGAGUGUACAAAUGGGGCAAAAUAUUAGCAAUCAGUGAAUAUAAGUGAAGAGUAUAUGAGUUUUUAUGCUACUACUCUUCCAGAUUUUUCAAAAUAAAAUGUUUACUGUGUAAAUAAUUCAAAGUACUAUACCCAGCACCGUGGCAGCUGCCACAUCUAUGCUCGUUUUGUGUUGAUGACCUUUUCCUCUAUUAGGCUUGUUCACUUUUCCUCAAUCAUGAUAGGCCCUCAUUAUGGUUAUUUAAAUAUACCUUGGGUCUAGUUACAUUGCCCUAAGAAAAAAGUAGUUUCUGAAAAGACAUAAAGCACAAAAAGGGCAGAGUGUGGUAAAAAUGCCAGGAGUGGCAGUAAUUGGCUGCUCCACAAGGUUGUUCUGUUCUCCAAAAGGGACAUCCCAUGCUGUUGCAUGUUAAAUAUUUUACAGAAUUAAGAGGAAGAAAUCAGUAGUUUGAAAAAAAAAACAAUAUCCAGAAUAUUAACCUUUCUCAAUCAAUACCAAAAUAGAGCAAAUGUUUUAUCUGAGUGCUGAUUUAGUAACGCAAAAUCAAGAUUAUUUUUUCUUAGUGCUUUUCUCCCCAAGGUAAUAGGUUUUAGCACCUGUGGAAAUGAUGAACAUUUAUUUGGAAGUUGCCUGAGGGGUCUGAAUUGUGUGCACAGUUAAUUAUACACCAUUAAAGAUAUUUCUGCCAAACCAGCUGCUCAACUUAACUAGUGGCCAGUGUGUGUCUUGAUUUUUAGGAUGAAGACUCCAGAAUUCCAGGAUAUUUUUUUCUUUUGCUGUGCCUACUUCAUAUCCUUAAAGCUGGAAUGGAUAUAGGAAAGAGACAAGAGGAAUAUACUCAGUCUGGGUCCCCUUUGGGUCAUGAUUCUCUUGAAUUCCACUUCUUCUGUUGGUGACUUUGUAAAUGAAUCCUUUUCUUAAUUCUAUUAAUCCUCAAAGCUCUCCUGGUGGAGAGAAGGGAAAAGCAAAUUAUUUAUCAAACCAACUUGUGAGGUGAGAAAACAGGGGGACUUAUGGGGAAAUUAUUUUCUAAACCAUGCAAUAGAAACUCAUCUGGCUUUCUUUUACCCCAUGUAUAUAAAGGAUUAUGUGAAAUAUAGGGAGAUGUGAAGAAGAAAAGAGUUUAGGACAUAGUUUCUGGUAACUAAAUAAUAGUAUUAACAACAACAGCAAUAUAAGAUAGUGUAUGUAUGUGAAAUUGCUAUGCAAACUGCAAACUUCUGCCCAAAUGCAAGUUACUAUUAUUUUAUUCAUCAUAGUUAUUAUUAUCAUCAUCAUCAUCAUCUUCAUUGUCGUCUAUGUUAUAAUGGUGGAGUUCUCAGGAAUUGUGAAGGAAGAAGAAAAAUGAUUUACUGUUUGGAAAAACUAAUUAUAAGCAAGUUUUGAGUGAAAGCUGACAUACUAAAGGUUUUUAAAGACCUAGUUGGGCAGGGAGCCAGGCAGGUGUAUUCAAAUGGAAGAUGCAGUAGGAGUGAUGGGGUGUGAGAGGGAGGAUGGCACCUGAAACUCUCUGAUGGCAGCAGAAUGGGACAGUAAUAGGAAUUUGGCAGUCAGGGUGGGAAGAAAAUGUGGGAGGAUGGGAGGUCCAGUAGCUGGAAGACAAUAAAGCCCAUAGUCUUAGAUUUUAACGGAAUUCAGGAAGCCGUAAAGAGCAACUAGGAUUCUAAGAAAAGAAAUAGCAUGACAAAGUGAUGCUUGGGAAGAUAAAGUCUUCUCAAGAUUUUCAAUAGAUUGUGGACAAUCAAAAGCAGAAGAGGAAGGAGGUUUUUAAGAUAGAGCAGAUUCAGGGAAAUAAAGAUCUUGCUUUGAUCAGCGAUGCUAAGACUGAGACAAUGGAUGUCUUGAGAGCACAGCUGGGCAUAUGCUCAAGAAGUAAAGCUUUGUUAGACAUUAGGUGUGUGGGAACAAAAGAAAGCUAAAAGAAGGCUUUGGAUCUAAAGUCAGAAAAGACUCUGAGAGCCUGGAAAGAAAGACAGACCUAUGUGAGACUCAUAUAUGUUGGAUGAGACUGGAAACCAGAUUAGGAUUAAAAACCGAUGCUUUUAGGAUUUUGUCACUCCCAGUCAUCAUCGGAAAACUGCUGAUCACUGGCUUCUGCUCUCUAGUUCUCUUUCUCCCAAGUUGCUCUGAAAGAACCUUCUGUCCAUCAGAGCUGCAGGGCCCCCAGUGACCUGCUUGCAGGCUCCCUUUAUGGUGUGGGGACAAAGGCAGUGCCAGGGCAGGGACUGUCAGCUUGCUGAGGCAUGCGUUUUAGGUACUACUGUUGUUUAGUUUCAGAGCACUUCAAAUAACAAGUGAUUUUAAAAAUGCCUCAUUGAUGUAACCUCUGUAUUACUGGCUCUUGCCCUCUCCUUGCAAAGAAAGAAUUGACUCCCCUGCAAGGUUCUGUCUCAAUUCAUAUGUGCUGUGUGGCACAGCCAUGUGCAUUUGUACACAGGGAGGAUGCGUGGGAUGCUGUAACUAUCUGGAACUGCCGUCCCUCUAUGGGGCUCCCAUUCUCAACACAGCUUCUCAUAGUUUUCUCUCCUGGCUGCACAAUGUUGUGGGAAGAAAGAAAUUUUAGAGUCCUUUUAAAAAAUUUAUCUUUUUAGUAUAUUCUGCUGGCAGGUUACCUAAACAGGACUCCUUAUACCAUCAUAUCAUAAAUUCAUCAUGAAAGUCAUUUAGUGUUUUACAUCAGUCCAAAGGCCUGGACUGGAGGACAAAUCUGGACAACAUACAACACCCACUGUAAUUAUAUAGACUCUUUGGAAAUAGAAAGAUGCUAUAUUUAUUUAGCAAUGCUUAUAUAGUUCUUGCUAUGUGCCAUGCCCUGUUCUAAGUGCUUUAUUUAAUUCUUUUAACAGCCCUAUGAGGUUGAUAUAACUAUUGUGAUCCUCCUUUUGAUUUUCAGAUGUGGAAACUGAGGCACAGAGAAACCAGAUAGGACGCUCACCCUCCCAGUAAGCUCGUGGCUGAACUUGAACCUAGAAUGAGCCUUCCUGACAAAAGUCCAAGAGGCAGCUUAACGGAGAACGUGGAGUGUUCCACUGCAUGAGGGUUUCGAGGCAACAUCAAUUUGGCCGUGAUACGUUUCCAUGGUUUCUACACUUAUCACUCUCUAUCUUGGUAAUGAGCACCAAUAAAAUAUGACCCGACUGGAUUAUAGCAAGAGAAGAAUCUGAAGAACACUCCUUUUAUAGUUUCUUCUCUUGUGAAACACUUGACUGACUCCUGCGAAGGCUAUCCUAAAUUUCGCUGGACGGUGCAGUCUGAGGUCAUCGGCUUUCCUUAUUUCAGGAGGGUUCCAUGCCGCAAUCAGAUCAAUAUUGUGUGCCUUGCCUGUGUUAUUAGGAGAAAGAGAUUUCUGCCUAGGAACUGGAGUGAGAAAAAUAAUGCUAGAGAGCAUCAUAAACAGGAAAAUACCCAGUGCUGCCAAUGUCUAUGAAAUAUGCAAAAAUCUGCAUCUCUUAUGGAUAAGUAACAGAUGGAGCUAUCAGAUAAUAGGAAAAAGAAAAAGAUAAAUUGUAAUAUAAUUGACCCUCCAGAGCUGUUUGGAGAAUAGACACACUGCACUCAACUUUCAGCUUGUUAGGGCUGGGUUAGGUGAUGGAAUGACGGGAGCAGUUUCUCAUAGUGUGAUGUUUUAAAGAUCACUCAGUCACACUUAGGUCCUUUGUGGAAGAUUCAACUUCUAGUUAUGUUUUCUGUGCCAUGUGGGCAGCCCUUUCAUUGAAGGAAUUCCCAGCUGUAUUGCCUUUUAAUAAAAAGAUGCACCAGGAUUGGGAAGAAAAGGCUUGCUCCCUGCAUGUUGAGCUGCACACGCCCCUCCUCCACCGCAGCCCUCUCCCUCUCUGCUCUCCAGCCCCUGGCUUCACUAGCAGCUGCCUCUCAGCCUCCCUUGUUGGGAAAGAGUGCUUACUAAUGGGCCUUCUGGCACCUAUCCUGGUGAGUGAAAGUGGCAUACAGGACCUUGUACUUCAAGCGUUUGGCAGAGCAAUACAACCGGAAAGCCGAGAGCCCCUGCAGUGCUGGGGCAGCGCUGCUGACAACAGGCACCCUUGCUGCUGGGGCCUUGACUGCUGCUGACGCCUGAGUCAGGCACGGAGCAUCCCUGGCAGAAGGUCAGAGGGACCUGUUUUCCCUGAGCACUGAGAAACCCCCUCUAGCAACCACUGAUGACAGCUGGUGAAAAGCAAGUUUCUUUUCUUUUUUAAUAAAAUUGAGAAAAAGAGAGAGAAAAGAAAUUUAAGUUCAAGGCUAACUGAACAGAGGUUGCACAGUGACCGUGAAAACUCCUAUCCAUUUUCAUGUUCAGAGACAUCUUGGAGAUCACAGGUUGAGAGUGCAGAAUAGAAAAACCACCUUGUUUUGAAAUCCUCAAAUGUUUACGUCCAGGGAGAAAGCUCUGGCCAUGGCCAAGUUGUCGGUGACAUGAAUCUCGGCUCCAUUCUACACGGAGUAUUUCUGAGCUAAUUCUCACAGCCCCUACAUUUCAAGAGAUGAACAUACACACCAGAAGGACAUUACAGGAAAAUUGGAUUGCUCGACUGUGAGUGAGAUAUGGAAAGGCCUUUUCCCCACCAAGCAGCAGACGAAAUUGUAACAGCCAGAUCACUGCGAGGGCCCCGCCCACCUUGCCAAUCUCCAAGCUUUCAAAGGUCUCUGUCCAGCGGUGGAUCAAACACCUAGUAAUGCAUCCUGGGAGCAGAGAGGCUCCAGUCUCUUUCACAUUCAGUUAAAAUAAGGAGGGAUGGCAUCUAUGAAGAUGCGCACACCCAAUGAUGUGCAUAUGCACCACAAGAUGACAUGUGCACACCGGUGUGCACAGACCAGCAGGUCGGGGGACUCUCCAUGGCUAUCGUCUUCCUCGUAUGACUGGGAGACCCAAGCUGCUUGGAUCGUAUGGCUGUGACAUUUCAAUACCUGGUCUCCACAUUUACUGCCAACAAGAAAGCAAGGGAUGUGAAAUCACAAAGGGAGUGUUUAAUCCUCCAGCAUGGAAGUAACACACGCAUCACAUCGACUCACAUUCAUUUGUCACAACCUGCCAUAAAGCCCUUUUUACCUGCCUGAAGGCUGGGAAGUAUCAUCUUCUGUAUGUGUAGACAGGAGAGGAGAAUCAGCUACUGGCGGGCACUAAUGAGAUCUAUCACACAUACUUUAAUAAAAAUAAUUUUUAGGGAUAUCUAAUAUAAAUUAUAUGUUGUAACCAUGAUAGAAAAAAUAUUGGCUAAUGUUUGUCAUAAAUUAACGGUGGAUGAAAUCUAUUUAAGUAAGAUAAAGAAUUUAUCUAACAUAAGAAAAAAAGAGGCAACUUUAAUUACAAAAUGUUAAAAUGUUUGUUGAUUAAGGAAAACCAUAAACAAAGUCAAAUCUAAGCAAAUCAAAAUGUAAGUAACAAAAUGUUAAUCUCCCUAAUGUACAAAUAAGCUCCAAUAAAUGGAAUGGAAAAAACCCAGAACAAUGGAAAAAAGGCACGUGCAUAAUAUUUACAGAAGUGGUAAUUAAACUGAUAAUGAUGCUUAUACUGACUAGUAAUUAGUGAAACAUUUUACCCAUCAGAGCUACAGAAUUGUUCAGAUUGAUAAUUUACAGUUCCAAUGAAGUUAUGGGGAAAUAGAUGUUAGUUUCACACACUAUUGGAGGGAAUGUAAAUUACACUAAUCUUGUGGAAAGUAAUUUGAAGUGAUAUAUUCAAAUUUUAUAUAUGUCAGUCCUAUAACUCAGCAAUUCCAUGUCAGGGAAUCUACACAAAAAAAUACUUGUAUAGAGCCUGAAGCAUGUAAGUUCAAGAAUGCUCAUUUCAAUAUUGUCUGUAAUAGUACAAAAUAAGUGCCAACCUAAAUACCCAUUAAUAAGGGACUGGUUAAACAAUUCAUAGUUUAUCCAUUGCAUGCAAUUCUAUAUGCCUCCAAAACUAUAGACUUACUCCCCAAAAUGAUUGUUCAGUUACUAUCUUUUUGCCAUAAUGCCAUUUGAAAAUUUAUACCACUUUUCGGUGACUUUCAUUUUAUUUUUUUAGUAGCAGUGCUUUCACCUAAAAACCUACAAAAUAGGGGGCCGGCCCCGUGACCGAGGGGUUAAGUUCUUGCGCUCUGCCUUUGGCGGCCCAGGGUUUUGCUUGUUCGGAUCCUGUGCGUGACCAUGGCACCAGUCAUCAGGCCACGUUGAUGCGGUGUCCCACAUGCCGCAACUAGGAGCCACAACUAAAAAUAUACAACUAUGUACUGGGGGAAUUGGGGGAGAAAAAGCAGAGGAAAAAAAAAAGAAGAAGAUUGGCAACAGUUGUUAGCUCAUGUGCCAAUCUUUAAAAAAGAGAAAAAAUAAAUAAAUAAAAUAAAAAUAAAAACCUACGAAAUAAAUAUGACCUAAAAAACUAUAUUUUGACUUUAUUAUUUUAGACAAGGGCACACUCAAAAUUUACUCAAUACAAAAAUUUCUAUGCAGAGACGAUAUGUGGGACAGAUUUCAAUUGCUGUCAGAUUUGUCUUCCUUUGUAUGGGCACACAGAACACGAGGGAUAAAGAAGCAGCAACUUCUAUGACUCUGGUCUUUUAUGCACAUGUACUCCUAUUUGUAAAUGUUUUGACCCACUCUUGUGUUUAGUCUUUAUUUUCAAGUGUACUUUGAAUUAAAGUUAACUGUGAGCCCCCAAAUAGCUCAAAAACUGAUAAGUAAGUGUUGUUGUAGAAAGAAAAGUUAGGAAAAUUUUAAUCGUGGAGCAAAGGAUGAGUGAAAUAAAAGAGGAUGGAAGCAGGAGACAGAAGUAAAGAUUCUGCAGUCUUUUAGGAUAGUUCACUCUGCUUAAUACGCGAUCUUGAAUGCCUGGCUGAAGGUCGGUUACCUGAUCUCCCCUAGUCCUCCUUAGAACACCUCCCUCGCACCUCUGCUCCACCUGCCCAUUCACUGUCUGCCCCGCCUUAGUGAGUACACUGAACUUUCAUGAUGUUAUUGCAUUGACUUCCUUCAUAAAAAGCUGAUUUUGUUUUCCCUCAAAUUGUUUCUUAUUGCUUAUGUAAACUUGGUUUUAUUGUCAAUCAAUCGGUUUUUCUUCGUGAAAAUUGUUUUGGCGUCUUAGGUUGGCAGGAAGGAAAACAUAGGCCAGAAAGGAAAUCCUUGAAAGGAAUCAUAAUUUUUCCCAUUAAAAUUGAUAUAAAUAUUGCUUUUCAAUUUAAACGACUUUAUAGCUAGUGGCAUAGUUUGAGUUGUGAAUUAAAUUUGUUAAGCAGGCCAUGAGCAUAUUAAAGAAAUUUGUGCAUAAGGCUGUGCAAGGUUAUCUGUGAUUGGUAAGUGGAAAAAGAAAGUUGCUGAAUAUUAUAUGUUAUGAACUCAUUUUUGUAAAAAUGAUCUGGAAUGACAUUAUUAAUAGUGAUUAUGCCUGGGCUUCUAGAAUGCUAGUUAUUAGUUAUGAGAGAUCUGAGACACAGUGCUAAGGAUCCCAGCUCUAUAACUUGUUCACUGUAAAACUUUGGCCAACAUAGCUCUCCUCAAAAGCUUCACUUUUUUGUAACCUGAAUAUCACAGAUCAUAAUUAUUCUACCUCACAGGGUGGUUGUGAUGAUUCAAUGAGGUAAUCAACUGCCAGACACAGUAGGUGGGCUACACAUUGUAGCCAUUGUUAUUAUUUUAUGUACAUCUGUAUUGUUCAUUUAUUUUAAAAUGAACACGUCUUAACUUUGUAAAAAGAUUAAAAUAGAUCUAUAAGUUGUGUUGAGCUUUUAUUUAUUUAUUUAUUUUGAGGAAGAUUAGCCCUGAGCUAACUACUGCCAGUCCUCCUCUUUUUGCUGAGGAAGCCUGGCCCUGAGCUAACGUCGUGCCCAUCAUCCUCCACUUUAUAUGUGGGACGCCUACAACAGCAUGGCGUGCCAAGCGGUGCCAUGUCCACACCCAGGAUCCGAACCAGUGAACCCCGGGCCGAGGAGAAGCGGAACGUGCAAACUGAACUGCUGCGCCCCCGGGCCGGCCCCUGGGCUGAGCUUUUAGAAUAGGUUUUCCUAUAUCACAAAUGACUCCUCUUUCCUGAAGAAUUUGAAUAAAUGUGUAAAUUUGGAUAAAUUUGAAUAAAUGCUUAUCUGAACCAACCGUCGAUUCCUGGGUCUAGUGUUUGCUCUGUUUCCACACUCCUGCUACAGCCUGAUGGAGAUGCUUCUCUAGUUCUUGACUCCCAGGUAAGGUCUUUUCAUUUUGAGUACCAUAAUUUUAAAUGACAAAUGAAAUACGAGUUUUCUUCACAUAAUGUAUAAAUGCAUACCGAUUAAUACCAUUUAUUAAUUCUUGCUUCUGUCUCAUGUGGCUUUUUGUUUUCAUGUUUUGAGGGGAGAAGAGACUUGGCUAUGAGAACACCUUAAUGUGGAAACCCUGAGUUCGUGGUUUCCACUCACCUGUUUGCCAGCGAGGCUGAUAAAUGGUGCUGGGUAAGGAAGCUGGGAGCUUCUGGAAAUGUGACAGAAACCCUCUGUCCACCACCACACCAGAGACACGGGGCCCUUAGAGGUAAAUUCAUGAGGUUAAGGGCAAGCAAAAC
rnacentral:lncRNA from 1 species